AGUGAACGCUGGCGGUAGGCCUAACACAUGCAAGUCGAACGGCAGCACAGUAAGAGCUUGCUCUUACGGGUGGCGAGUGGCGGACGGGUGAGGAAUACAUCGGAAUCUACUUUUUCGUGGGGGAUAACGUAGGGAAACUUACGCUAAUACCGCAUACGACCUACGGGUGAAAGCAGGGGAUCUUCGGACCUUGCGCGAUUGAAUGAGCCGAUGUCGGAUUAGCUAGUUGGCGGGGUAAAGGCCCACCAAGGCGACGAUCCGUAGCUGGUCUGAGAGGAUGAUCGGCCGCACUGGAACUGAGACACGGUCCAGACUCCUACGGGAGGCAGCAGUGGGGAAUAUUGGGCAAUGGGCGCAAGCCUGAUCCAGCCAUACCGCGUGGGUGAAGAAGGCCUUCGGGUUGUAAAGCCCUUUUGUUGGGAAAGAAAAGCAGCAGGCUAAUACCCCGCUGUUCUGACGGUACCCAAAGAAUAAGCACCGGCUAACUUCGUG
rnacentral:rRNA from 1 species